GAUGAACGCUGGCGGCGUGCCUAAUACAUGCAAGUCGAGCGAACAGACGAGGAGCUUGCUCCUCUGACGUUAGCGGCGGACGGGUGAGUAACACGUGGAUAACCUACCUAUAAGACUGGGAUAACUUCGGGAAACCGGAGCUAAUACCGGAUAAUAUAUUGAACCGCAUGGUUCAAUAGUGAAAGACGGUUUUGCUGUCACUUAUAGAUGGAUCCGCGCCGCAUUAGCUAGUUGGUAAGGUAACGGCUUACCAAGGCGACGAUGCGUAGCCGACCUGAGAGGGUGGUCGGCCACACUGGAACUGAGACACGGUCCAGACUCCUACGGGAGGCAGCAGUAGGGAAUCUUCCGCGAUGGGCGAAAGCCUGACGGAGCAACGCCGCGUGAGUGAUGAAGGUCUUCGGAUCGUAAAACUCUGUUAUUAGGGAAGAACAAAUGUGUAAGUAACUAUGCACGUCUUGACGGUACCUAAUCAGAAAGCCACGGCUAACUACGUG
rnacentral:rRNA from 1 species